GAUAUGAGGCCUUUGCCUAAAUUGGAUGCAAACACCAUAGAAAUCUUCAAGGGGUAAGCAAACUGUGAAUUGCUUUUGUUCAAAUGUACCUCUCUGUCUUAAUUGAUAUUAUUGUCCAAUCUGUAGGCUCAUAUCUGAAAUUGAAAGUAUCUUCUCAGAGAAAGCACAUAAACUCCACUGAAGGCGUAUGUUAAGAGCUUCUUGCUUCCACACUCUUCUUUUUCUUGUCUCAAGAUUUUGAAUGGUGAAGAUGUAGAUAUAGAGGAAACGGUUCGUCAAGCUCCAAUAUCCAAAUCCCAGAACCACCAUUCAGAUUCAUUCUACUCAUCACCACAAACAAAUAGGAAUAUUCCUACUUUCCUAGCAUAGCUGCACAAGAUGAAAUUGGAUUGCUUAUGUUGCAGCAUUACUUGUGGGUGAGGAUCGAACACAAUCUUGUAUAGCUUAUGAAAUUGGAAGGCUUUGUUCAAUGGCAUGUUUAAAUGCUUAUAAAGAUGUAUAUGGUGAAUCGAUUUGGAGUUUGAUGUAUCACAUUUACUUUUAGCAUUAAUAUAAAAUU